rnacentral:rRNA from 1 species
UACGUAGGUGGCAAGCGUUGUCCGGAUUUACUGGGCGUAAAGAGCGCGCAGGCGGUCGGAUAAGUCGAAUGUGAAAGCCCCCGGCUCAACUGGGGAGGGUCAUUCGAUACUGUUCGACUCGAAGGCAGGAGAGGGAAGUGGAAUUCCCGGUGUAGCGGUGAAAUGCGCAGAUAUCGGGAAGAACACCCGUGGCGAAGGCGGCUCUCUGGGACGGUACUGACGCUGAGACGCGAAAGCGUGGGGAGCGAACAGG